rnacentral:rRNA from 1 species
GGGGGAUAACGUCCGGAAACGGACGCUAAUACCGCAUACGUCCUACGGGAGAAAGCAGGGGACCUUCGGGCCUUGCGCUAUCAGAUGAGCCUAGGUCGGAUUAGCUAGUUGGUGGGGUAAUGGCUCACCAAGGCGACGAUCCGUAACUGGUCUGAGAGGAUGAUCAGUCACACUGGAACUGAGACACGGUCCAGACUCCUACGGGAGGCAGCAGUGGGGAAUAUUGGACAAUGGGCGAAAGCCUGAUCCAGCCAUGCCGCGUGUGUGAAGAAGGUCUUCGGAUUGUAAAGCACUUUAAGUUGGGAGGAAGGGCAGUAAAUUAAUACUUUGCUGUUUUGACGUUACCGACAGAAUAAGCACCGGCUAACUCUGUGCCAGCAGCCGCGGUAAUACAGAGGGUGCAAGCGUUAAUCGGAAUUACUGGGCGUAAAGCGCGCGUAGGUGGUUCGUUAAGUUGGAUGUGAAAUCCCCGGGCUCAACCUGGGAACUGCAUUCAAAACUGACGAGCU